rnacentral:lncRNA from 1 species
AAUUUCGCUUUUAGGACAGUGCUCUGCACGCCUCGAUCCACAGGCCUUAUCUAAACCUUUUUUUUACCGCCACUACAACAAAAUUGCUUUUUAGCGGCAAUUUAAUAGCGGUGAUUAUCAAACGGCCACUAUUACUAUUAUCUUACAGUACUUUAGCGGCAAUUGUUUUAAAAAAUAUAUUUUUAUCGACUAAUAUUUAUAUAUUAAAUAUAAUCUAACCCAAUCUCAACCCGAUUCCAACCCAACCCAACCUCAACCCUAUUCCAACCCAACCGCCUGAUUCGCUCGUGAGCGACCUAUUCUCUCUCUGCCCUUAACCUCUCUUCGAGCUCCGAUCUUCUC